UGCGUAAAUAAUUUUUGUAGCGUAAAAGCAAAAUAAAUUCAUACAUACAGUGGCACACACAGCUAGGUAUACAAAAUAUUCUACAAUGACAUGUGGGCUCCAAAAUAAUCGCAAAUAUACAAGACUGUAGACCUUCGAUUUCUAAGGAUGCAAAUCCAAAAGCAACCCUCAACAAAAUCGGCUGUUUACAAACUGUCCUGAGCCUUAAAUGGGUACAACAAAAGAGUGAGUUUUUAUAAACCCAGUGAGUAAGCAAAAUUCAUCUAUAACAUUUAAAGCCAAGUAAAUGGAGACAGUUAAAUCAUCCCAUCAUAUUAUAGUCCAUAACAUUCAAAACUCAUUUCAAUUCCUAUAAAACAAUUACAUUUCAUCAAAAUAAUCAACAAGGCUCAUGAUUCUCUUAAAAACUUGACUUGUGCCAAAACUCAUACUCUGUGACACCUUGGCCCAAGCAUCCAACCAAGUCCGCCAAGGAUGUUAAAACGACAUAUACCCAUAAAACAUAUUUUUACUUUUAAAAUAUAGUCAUUCCUUGGCGUUGGCUGAGUUUCAUCCUCACGUGGUGGUUCGACGUGAAGUGAACUCUAAACUUACCUUAGAAGAUACCAUCUGCGCCUUUCAUACUAAGGUAAAAUACAACGGGGUUUACCAUGCCCUUCUAAUAGGCUGGUCCACGAAAACCCGCC
rnacentral:lncRNA from 1 species